GCAUGCAUUGCUUCCAUUCAUAUUCCAUUGGCUUGAACUUCAAGGAAGCCUGGAACAGCCUCCCGAGUAGCUGGGAUUACAGCCACCUGCCACCAUGUCUGUCUAGUUUUUGUAUUUUUAGUACAGAUGGGGUUUUACUACGUUGUCUAGGCUGGUCUCAAACUCCUGACCUCAGGGGAUCUGCCUGCCUCAGCCUCCCAGAGUGCUGGGACUGCAAGCGGGAGCCACCACACCUGGCCUCUCCCUUUCUAUUCAUGUGGUUUGGUACCACAUUAUUUUUCGAGGCAACCUCCUUGUGCACCUGGUUCACAUGAAGCUUAUUCUCAACAUACACACUCUUUAUCUUUUUUGCUGGCACAUUUUCCCUGUACCACGUUGUUCAGUUUAUUUUUUUUAACAGGAUGGAAGAUUGUACAUUUAUUUUGAUUAUAUGUUGUCAUGAUUUCAUCCUGACGAGAACUUAUAGAGCUAGUGCCAUAAUCCUACAUUUUUUGUCCUUCUAAAUCUUCUGUGUGCUGCAGAUCCAAUAAAGCCACCUUUUCAGUCGUCCUCUAAGUGGCUAUGCCUACCGUUGUAUCGGACAAGGCCAGGAUGUGGCAAUGGCUUUUGAGUAUCUUUUCUUUUGAAUCAUUUGGCUGGAAUGUACGAAGCCACCUUUGUUUUCAUUAGGAACUCACCCACCUCCUCUCCAUUAUUUCUUAUAUUCUCGUUAUCUGUAAAUGCAGUGACCGAAAACAACAACCAUUUUAUUUAUGCUCACUGAUGAUGAGUCAGGAAUUUGGACAGGGCACAGCAGGGUGGCUGGCGUCUGCUCCACAGUGUCUGGGGUCUCAGCUGGGAAGACGUGAAUGGCCAAGGGUGACUCAAAAAGCUGGGGGCUGAAAUCAUCUGGAGGCUUCCUCACUGGCAUGUCUGGCGCCUGGGCUGGAUCACUCAAAGGCUGGGCUCAGCUGGGCCUGUCAACCUGAGCCCUGACACGUGGCAUCUCCAUGGAGUUCAGGCUUCCCGCAGCAUGGAGCUGGGUCUGCGAAGAAGCAUCCAGAGAGAGAAUAUUUCAAGAGAACCAAGGGGGAAGCUGCACAGCCUUUUCUGACCCAGCCUCAGAAAUUACAAAGCAUUGUUUUCUUCUAUUGGCUGAAGUCGAUACAAACCUGCCCAGAUACAAGGGGAAGGGGAACUGAACCCCACCUCUCCGUGGAGGUAGUGUCUAAGAAUUUGGGGGUCCUUGUUUUUUUAAACAUCACGUCUGGCUGUCAUGUGAUUGACAACUUCCAAAUCUAUUCAGUCUCAUGAGAAUACAUUUUUGUCAAGGUUUUUUUCAGGGAGGGAAAGCAACAAGAAACACAUGUAUGAGCUAUACAUUUGUAAUGCUCAACCCAGAUAUAGUUUUUUUGUUGCAGUUGUUUUAGUGUGCAAAUUUUGGAGGUGCAUUUAAAGAUUAGUAGAAUAUUUCAGAGUGGGGAGAAGGGAGAGUUGGAGAGUGGAGGAGGGAGCGGUUGUUAAGGGACAUUAGACAUUAUUUUAUAUAUUUUUUUGAGACAGAGUCUCACUCUGUCACCCAAGCUGGAGUGCAGGACGCAAUCUUGGCUCACUGCAACUUCUGCCUCCUGGGUUCAAGCGAUUCUCAUGCCUCAACCUCCCAAGUAGCUGGGAUUUUCAUGGCUUAAUCUGUGCCCAUAGGAGGCUUAAUAAAAGCUAUAACU
rnacentral:lncRNA from 1 species